UUUCCGUAGGUGAACCUGCGGAAGGAUCAUUAAUGUGUUUGGGCCUCACGGUUCUUCAUUCCGACGCUGUGCGCCUUCGGGCUGCACGCUGAGGGAGCAUAUAUCCACCCCUGUGCACACACACGGUGGCGAGCUGGGUAACGGCUCGCCGCUGAUCUUUACACACGUCUAAAAGUCAUUGUAUGUUUAUUUGAGAUAAAAACACAACUUUCAGCAACGGAUCUCUUGGCUCUC
rnacentral:misc_RNA from 1 species